rnacentral:rRNA from 1 species
UAACUUAGUGGCGGACGGGUGAGUAAUGUGUGAGCAACCUGCCUUUCAGAGGGGGAUAACACAGUGAAAACUGUGCUAAUACCGCAUGAUAUGUAAUGUUCGCAUGGACGAUACAUCAAAGGAGCAAUCCGCUGAAAGAUGGGCUCACAUCUGAUUAGAUAGUUGGUGAGGUAACGGCUCACCAAGUCGACGAUCAGUAGCCGGACUGAGAGGGUGAUCGGCCACAUUGGAACUGAGACACGGUCCAAACUCC